UGCAGUCGACGAUGAACCGGUUUCGGCCGGGGAUUAGUGGCGAACGGGUGAGUAACACGUGGGCAAUCUGCCCUGCACUCUGGGACAAGCCCUGGAAACGGGGUCUAAUACCGGAUACGACGCGUUCCCGCAUGGGAUACGUGUGGAAAGCUCCGGCGGUGCAGGAUGAGCCCGCGGCCUAUCAGCUUGUUGGUGGGGUGAUGGCCUACCAAGGCGACGACGGGUAGCCGGCCUGAGAGGGCGACCGGCCACACUGGGACUGAGACACGGCCCAGACUCCUACGGGAGGCAGCAGUGGGGAAUAUUGCACAAUGGGCGCAAGCCUGAUGCAGCGACGCCGCGUGAGGGAUGACGGCCUUCGGGUUGUAAACCUCUUUCAGCAGGGAAGAAGCGUGAGUGACGGUACCUGCAGAAGAAGCGCCGGCUAACUACGUGCCAGCAGCCGCGGUAAUACGUAGGGCGCAAGCGUUGUCCGGAAUUAUUGGGCGUAAAGAGCUCGUAGGCGGCUUGUCGCGUCGGAUGUGAAAGCCCGGGGCUUAACUCCGGGUCUGCAUUCGAUACGGGCAGGCUAGAGUUCGGUAGGGGAGAUCGGAAUUCCUGGUGUAGCGGUGAAAUGCGCAGAUAUCAGGAGGAACACCGGUGGCGAAGGCGGAUCUCUGGGCCGAUACUGACGCUGAGGAGCGAAAGCGUGGGGAGCGAACAGGAUUAGAUACCCUGGUAGUCCACGCCGUAAACGUUGGGAACUAGGUGUGGGCGACAUUCCACGUUGUCCGUGCCGCAGCUAACGCAUUAAGUUCCCCGCCUGGGGAGUACGGCCGCAAGGCUAAAACUCAAAGGAAUUGAC
rnacentral:rRNA from 1 species